rnacentral:rRNA from 1 species
GACGAACGCUGGCGGCGUGCUUAACACAUGCAAGUCGAGCGGUAAGGCCCUUUCGGGGGUACACGAGCGGCGAACGGGUGAGUAACACGUGGGUGACCUGCCCUCAGCUCUGGGAUAAGCCUGGGAAACUGGGUCUAAUACUGGAUAUGACUCCACGGUGCAUGUCGUGGGGUGGAAAGCCUUGUGCGGCUGAGGAUGGGCCCGCGGCCUAUCAGCUUGUUGGUGGGGUGANGGCCUACCAAGGCGACGACGGGUAGCCGGCCUGAGAGGGCGACCGGCCACACUGGGACUGAGAUACGGCCCAGACUCCUACGGGAGGCAGCAGUGGGGAAUCUUGCGCAAUGGGCGAAAGCCUGACGCAGCGACGCCGCGUGAGGGAUGACGGCCUUUGGGUUGUAAACCUCUUUCAGCUCCGACGAAGCGUAAGUGACGGGUAGGAGCAGAAGAAGCACCGGCCAACUACGUGCCAG